CUUUUAUAUGUUCACAAUAUUAUAUUUAGCAUAUACAUGACAUAUUAUUCAUAACAUGUAGAAAAUAUUAAUUAAGUAUAUAGAAUAUUAAAUGGUAUCAUGUAUUUUACAUUCUUUAUACAUUAUGUAAUAAAAUCAUUAUACCAGGCGCAGUGGGGCACACCUAUAAUUCCAGGAACUUGAGUGGCUGAGGCAGGAGGAUCGCAAGUUCAAGGCUAGCCUCAGCAACUUAGAGAGGUUGGAAAUGUAUCUCUGUACUAAAGUGCCCCUGGUUUCAAUCCCCAGUGCCAAAAUAAAAAAAUAAUAUCUUCAUGUUCAAUUGUUGCUUAAAUACGGGGCUGGGGAUGUGGCUCAAGCGGUAGUGCGCUCGCCUGGCAUGCGUGCAGCCCAGGUUCGAUCCUCAGCACCACAUACAAAGAUGUUGUGUCUGCCGAGAACUAAAAAAUAAAUAUUAAAAAUUCUCUCUCUCUCUCUUUAAAAAAAUAAAAAAAACACCAAACAAUUGUUGCUUAAAUAUGAUUUUAUAUGUGCGAAUAUGUAUAAUGUAUAAUAUGGUAUAAUGUGCAAGCAUUAUAAGCAUUAUAUGUGAAAUAUGAUUAUAUAAAACAAUAUUACAUACAAAGUUUACAAAGAUAAUUGUUACAUAUAAUUUUAUGGCUGUAUUCUAUGUAGUAUAGGUGAUAGUAUAUACUCUGUAGUAUUACAUGUUAUGUUACAUUUGAAAUAUGUAUUGCCCAUAUUAUUUGUCCUACAUAUUACAUGUUAUAAAAUUUAUAAUGAUACAGAAUUUCACAUACUGUCACAUAAAAUAAUGAUUGCAUGUACAUUAUAUAAUGUAGAUUACGUAUACUUGUGUGUAACUUAUGAAAAUUUAUUUCCAGUCAUAAUGGAUUGUGUUUACUUCAAUAUGGAAUCACUUUCUGUUUUAGUUACCUUUUUUGUCACUGUUACCAAAACACCCAACAAGAACGACUUAGAGAAGGAAAAAUUUACUUGGAACUCAAAAUUUCAAAUGUCUAAUAAGUCCACAGAUAGCUGACUCCAUUACUCCUGGUUCCAGGUGAGGCAGUAUAUCAUGGUAAAAAUGGCACGAGCAGGAAAGUAGCUCAGAUUAUGGUGGGGUCAGGAAGGAGAGAGAGAAAAAGAGACCAAGGAGCCAUAGGGAAGCUAGACACUUCUAGGGUAAACCUCUGAUGCCUACACUUACCACUCAGUCUGUCCAUUCGAACUAGGAUGUACUCAUUAGGUCAUAGCUCUAAUAAUCCAAUCAUUUCACCUCCAAACUUUCCUGCAUCAACAGGAGUUUUAGAGGUACAUCUCAUAUCCAAAUCUUAACACUUUGUCAUAUAGUCAUGAAAUUUUUUAUCUUACUGUUCUAAAUAAUAAAUAUAAAGUGAGAUGUAUCAAAUGCAAAUGUUUUCACUAAAGCAUAAGCAUAUUAUAUAUCUAAUAUAUAAUAACUAUGCAAAAAAAUAUUGCAUAUUAAAUAUAUAUCAUUACUUUGUAUUAUUAGUAUUUUUUGGUGCCACGAAUUGAACACAGGGGUACUUAUUCACUAAUCCACAUCCCCAGUGCUUCUUAUUAUUCAUUUUUUUGGGGGGGUGGGGGUUUGUUUUGUCUUGUUGAUACCAGGGAUUGAACUCAGGGGCCCUCAACCACUGAGCUAUAUCCCAGCCCUAUAUUUUAUUUUAUUUAGAGACAGGGUCUCACUGAGUUGCUAAGUGCCUUGUCCUUGCUGAGGCUGGCUUUGAACUUGUGAUCCUCCUGCCUCAGCCUUGUCUCACACUGGGGUUUUGGGGGACACCUCACAUCCAAACCAUAACAUCCACCAAGAUAGCCACCAUGAAGGAGACAUCUGACAAGGAGGAGAGUUUGAUAGGGUGUGUCAGUCAGGGAAGGCAACACAGAAACACACACAGACACACACUUAC
rnacentral:lncRNA from 1 species